rnacentral:rRNA from 1 species
CACCGCCCGUCACACCAUGGGAGUUGGCUGCACCAGAAGCAGGUAGCUUAACCGCAAGGGGAGCGUUUGCCACGGUGUGGUCAAUGACUGGGGUG